rnacentral:rRNA from 1 species
UUGCUCCCUGAUGUUAGCGGCGGAAGGGUGAGUAACACGUGGGUAACCUGCCUGUAAGACUGGGAUAACUCCGGGAAACCGGGGCUAAUACCGGAUGGUUGUUUGAACCGCAUGGUUCAGACAUAAAAGGUGGCUUCGGCUACCACUUACAGAUGGACCCGCGGCGCAUUAGCUAGUUGGUGAGGUAACGGCUCACCAAGGCAACGAUGCGUAGCCGACCUGAGAGGGUGAUCGGCCACACUGGGACUGAGACACGGCCCAGACUCCUACGGGAGGCAGCAGUAGGGAAUCUUCCGCAAUGGACGAAAGUCUGACGGAGCAACGCCGCGUGAGUGAUGAAGGUUUUCGGAUCGUAAAGCUCUGUUGUUAGGGAAGAACAAGUGCCGUUCAAAUAGGGCGGCACCUUGACGGUACCUAACCAGAAAGCCACGGCUAACUACGUGCCAGCAGCCGCGGUAAUACGUAGGUGGCAAGCGUUGUCCGGAAUUAUUGGGCGUAAAGGGCUCGCAGGCGGUUUCUUAAGUCUGAUGUGAAAGCCCCCGGCUCAACCGGGGAGGGUCAUUGGAAACUGGGGAACUUGAGUGCAGAAGAGGAGAGUGGAAUUCCACGUGUAGCGUUGAAAUGCGUAGAGAUGUGGAGGAACACCAGUGGCGAAGGCGACUCUCUGGUCUGUAACUGACGCUGAGGAGCGAAAGCGUGGGGAGCGAACACGAUUAGAUACCCUGGUAGUCCACGCCGUAAACGAUGAGUGCUGAGUGUUAGGGGGUUUCCGCCCCUUAGUGCUGCAGCUAACGCAUUAAGCACUCCGCCUGGGGAGUACGGUCGCAAGACUGAAACUCAAAGGAAUUGACGGGGGCCCGC